rnacentral:rRNA from 1 species
GACGAACGCUGGCGGCGUGCCUAAUACAUGCAAGUCGAACGCUGAAGGAGGAGCUUGCUUCUCUGGAUGAGUUGCGAACGGGUGAGUAACGCGUAGGUAACCUGCCUGGUAGCGGGGGAUAACUAUUGGAAACGAUAGCUAGUACCGCAUAAGAGUAGAUGUUGCAUGACAUUUGCUUAAAAGGUGCAAUUGCAUCACUACCAGAUGGACCUGCGUUGUAUUAGCUAGUUGGUGAGGUAACGGCUCACCAAGGCAACGAUACAUAGCCGACCUGAGAGGGUGAUCGGCCACACUGGGACUGAGACACGGCCCAGACUCCUACGGGAGGCAGCAGUAGGGAAUCUUCGGCAAUGGACGGAAGUCUGACCGAGCAACGCCGCGUGAGUGAAGAAGGUUUUCGGAUCGUAAAGCUCUGUUGUAAGAGAAGAACGAGUGUGAGAGUGGAAAGUUCACACUGUGACGGUAUCUUACCAGAAAGGGACGGCUAACUACGUG